AGUAGCAGUAAAGGGCAACACUCACAGACACGCCAAUAUUUUCAGUAGUAUGAAUGCAGCACAAGCACAGACAUUUCAAAAACAGGUUUUGAAAAUUCUGUUUUACAGUGCAGCUCAUUUCUGACAAUGACCAAAAAUGGCAGGGUUAAAGUGUCUGGCUUCAUACAAGUUAUAUCACCCGUUAUAAAUCAACCUGGAGGCUUUUUAUAAAGCUGCUAUUUCCGGAAGUUCUCCAGCAAGGUUCUUCCCAUCUGUGGCCAGAAAUUUUGCAGUAGCUUCCUACAAACACUUGUAAGAAAAAAUUUGGAAUCAGAGCAUGCCUACUUUAGGGAAAACACAAAAGAAAUGGGAUCUUCCUUUUUCCCUGUCAUUUUUCAUUCAACUCCGCCUGCAAAACAAAAGCAAAAAGUGCCGGUAGUAACUCAGGUCAGCAGGUAACUGGAUCACCACGAGUCCACUGAGUGCAGUGAUGCCAUUUUUAGGUCAUUCUCAGAAUAAAGGCACCCCAAGGUGCUGUAUAUUACAAGUAUAUUCUGUGCAACUAGAACUUCAUCUUUUAGAAAUGAAUAUAACGCACAUGUGAGUCCUUGAUCACAUUCUACUUUUCAACAGGAUCUCCUGCUUGAUUCUGCAGCAAUCAUUUAUAGGCACACAGUACCACAAGGAACCAGAACUUGUUUCAAACGCACUGAAGAAGACCAACGUUGAACUUACAGGUGUCAUGUGAAGAAACAUCAGGGGAUGUGUGAAACUGACGGUUUGCAUGACUUCAAUUUCAACUCUUUACAGUAAUUUUCAUUCUCACACAAAGAUAAGUUGCCAUCACUAAACAAACAAACAAAAAACCUAAAAAAUGAAGACUCAGAGCUGGACUUUUGACAAAUGGAUAUUCAAGGGGAAGAGAAAAAUAAACCAUACUAGCACAAAACAGCCUGAAUGCUUUGGAUGGCUAUUUUUUGACAACAUUUUGGAUCGUUAUGGCCUUGUACAACAGUCAUUCUCUUUACAAUGACUAAACCAAAGCAACCCUACUGUAGAAUGCCAGCUAACCUGCUAGGGGCAUUCUAUAUAGCUAACCUUCUCAAAUCUAAACUCAAAAGAUCAUAUCACUUAAUCAGUAAGCAGAGCUAUCUGGGUAUCUGUCUCCAUUCCCUAAGAAAUUUCAUCCAUUCUCAUGGGGCUCUGUGAAGACAGAGACAUCACUGUGAACUGCUUCAAAAGAUCAGGACUCAUAUCCUUACGAAGUUGUGUCCUGUUAUUUUAAUAACCAAGCAGGGAAGAGUAGUACCUUUUCAAGUAGUACCAUAGGAAAGGGAAACAAAGCAAAAACAACCUAGAAAAACAACAAAAAACAACUGAAGAACCAGCAAAAGCAUGGUGGAUCCAGAAAACUGUAGGACAGCUGAGAAGGGCAGCAUGGUCUGGGUUGUAGUAAAUGGUGCUACCUCAGACUGGCAUCCAGUCACUAGCAGGGCUCCAUUUUAGGGUCAGUUCUCUUUUAUGUCUCUUUAAUUUGGAUGUAGAAUUAGAGGGUGUUUUUGAGUAAGUUUGCUGAUGAUACUAAACUGGGAGGAGCUGUUGACUUCACUGAGGGUGAAAAUGCCUUGCAGGCCUCUAGGCAAAUGAGAGAGCUGGGCAAUCACCAGUGACACCAAGUUUAACAAGAGCAAGUGCUGGAUUCUGCACCUGAAAAGGGGCAACUCUGGCUAUUACAUACAGAUUGAGGGAUGUGGCACUGGAGAGCAGUGUCACUGAAGGAGACCUGGGGGGUCUUGGUUGACAGCAAGUUGAACACGAGCCAACAGUGUGCCCAGUCAGCCAGGAAGGCCAGGCCUGAUGCACCAGGUGGUGCAUCAAGCGCAGCAUGGCCACUGGGCGAGGGAAGAGACUGAACUGCUCUACAAUGCACUGGUGUGGCCUCAGCUUGAGCAACAUACAGCUUUGGGCAGCACAGUAUGAAAAGGACAUAAAACUAUCAGUGUGUCCAAAGAAGAGCUACAAAGAUGGUGAAAGGUCUGGAGGACAGGAUGUGUGAGGAGCAGCUGAGGUGCCUGGCUGCGCUCAGCCCAGAGCAGAGGAGCUGAGGGGAGGCCUGAUGGCGGCUGCAGCUCCUCACAGGGAGCGGAGGGCAGCGCUGAGCUCUGCUCUGUGUGACAGCGACAGGGCUGAGGGAACGGCAUGGAGCUGUGUGAGGGGAGGGCAGCUGGGCUCAGGGAAUGGUUCUGCACCAGAGGGUGUUCAGGCUUGGAACGGGCUGCACAGGGCUGUGGGCAUGGCACCAAGCUGCUGUAAUUCAAGAGGCAUCUGGACAAAGCUCUCAAGAGAUGUGGUCUGAUUGUGGCGCUGUGUGGAGCCAGGACUUGAUAGGCCCUUAUGAGUCCCUUCCAACUCAGGAUAUUCUAUGAUUCUAAGACAAAACAAAUUCAACAGCAGUCAUACAAGCCUCUGAGGCGGAAUUUUAUAUAUAUAUAAACUUAAACAUAAAAGAUAAACAGCAUAGGAAAUGGGCUCACCCCACAUGUCUAUCAAUGUUCUGUCCAGUAUCUGAUUACAUGUGUGGGAACCAAAGUAAAACAAGUCUGGGAAAAGAAUCAAUACUAACUGAGCAAAAAGCAUGAUAAAAUGCUUCAAGAGAAAUGACAAGUUGAAAAAGGAGAAACAUCUCAAAAGAACAAAGAAAAAAAAAAACAAAAAGAAA